UACGGGGGGGGCAAGCGUUGUCCGGAGUUACUGGGCGUAAAGCGCGCGCAGGCGGCUACACAAGCAUGGCGUGAAAGCCCCCGGCUCAACCGGGGAGGGUCGUCGUGGACUGUGUGGCUUGAGGGCGGGAGGGGCUGGUGGAAUUCCCGGUGUAGUGGUGAAAUGCGUAGAGAUCGGGAGGAACACCCGUGGCGAAGGCGGCCAGCUGGACAGACCCUGACGCUGAGGCGCGAAGGCGUGGGGAGCGAACGGG
rnacentral:rRNA from 1 species